rnacentral:ncRNA from 1 species
CUAACAACUAUGCGAGUGUUUGGGUGUAAAACCCGUACGCAUAAUGAAAGUGAACGUAGGUGGGAACCUUUUGGUGCACCAUCGACCGAUCCUGAUGUAUUCGGAUGGAUUUGAGUAAGAGCAUAGCUGUUGGGACCCGAAAGAUGGUGAACUAUGCCUGAAUAGGGUGAAGCCAGAGGAAACUCUGGUGGAGGCUCGUAGCGAUUCUGACGUGCAAAUCGAUCGUCAAAUUUGGGUAUAGGGGCGAAAGACUAAUCGAACCAUCUAGUAGCUGG